GGGGGCGCGGCUUUGUGGCGGCCGCGGACCGCGGAGGCCCGGCGCAGCCCCGUCGGCUCGGCGCUCUCCGCAGAAAGGCUCUACGCCCCUGCCCAUCCCUCGGAUCUGGUCUGGGGAGGGCCGGGGUUGCUGCUGGAAGCCCCCCCCACCCCCCAGCCGUGCUCCGCCGCCGGGAAGGAUUCGAGGCUGGGCUCCGAGCGAGGCGGAGGCUGCAGGGCCCCGGGCGCACCCCGCCCCGCGCACGCCGCCGGAGCCCUGGCAGGCGCAGCCCCGGGGGCUCCCUGCACCCGCGGGAGGCGGCUGCGUAUUCCUCGGGGUCCCCGGGCCAGGAAGACGGCGGCUCUGGGCUCCUCCAGCAACACAGAGAGGAGAGCGAGGUGUCCCCAGAUGGGCAUCCCUCCCACAGUCCCUCUGCUUCCCUGGAAGAUCUGUCCGCACCAUGCUCAGAACCAGUCACCCUCCCCUAAAAGAGAGGAUUUCAUUUACAAACAUGAACGCUGGUUACUAAACUCGCUUUUUGCCCUCCAGGCUCAGAUCGGUGGAGCUCAGGCCUGGGAAGAAGGUCAGGCUGUGGCUCCAUCAGCAUUUGCUCCUGGGGGUGUUGAGGAGGUGGGGAGAGGAGAAGAAACCAGAGAUACCUGUUCGGUGAGGCCUGGUCCUUCCAGCUGGGCCUCUGGGAGCUUCACCUUGGCAGCGGGCCUUUGGCAGUCGUGGCUCACAUGCCAGCUCCUGAGACAGGACGCUUCCACUCUGCCUCAGUUUCCCCGUCAGCCAUGGGAGGGGCAACACCCCCUGCUCUAGCCUCAAAGAGUUCCUGGAUGCAUCCAGUGUUAUAAUGGGCUCGAAUGGUGUACAACUCAAAAGGUGCCUAGAAAAUGAGUAAUGCGUUAAUUAAUACGAUAUUCACUCAUACAGAGGCCACUGAGACACAUGGGGAAACCACAGUCCAGCAGUAUGCCUGGGUUUCUGGAAGCAGCCAUGCUUAUGAUCCAGCCUACGAUCUGUGACUCUUGCUGUGUUGCCCCAGGGAUGUGACUCAACCUCUCUGGGCCUCCAGUGCCUCGUGCAUGACACCCACAGCUUGGAUGAGAAGUUUCCCAAAUCUCUUAUGCACAUCUGCUCUAUGACUUUCAGAGGUACCUGGCUGAAGAUAAAAAUUUCUUAAAUAGGUGUUUCUUUGCAUGGCUGAUUUCUAUUUAUGGCAAUAGGUUGGUGUUCCCUAUAGGGGGGAUAUGUCUCCUUUUCUGUCGAAAUCAAUUUAUGUGGGUAAGAAAUGAGUCUCCUUCUUGAAAGAGAAAUGCAAAGCAAAUUAUGGCAGGUGGCCUGAGGAUGGGACCAAAAUCGAGACAACAGUUUGUAAAGUUUCAUGGGCCCACUUUUUAGAAAGAGUUCGUGUUUCUCUUAGGGGUUUUCUGUACCCUUAGUUGAUGGUGGGGGGAGUAAGUUGCCAGUUAAACCCAUGCUGUGUCCUGUGUUGUCCUUGGGGUCCCAACACCAGAGGCCCUCCCCAACUCCCCCCAUCCGUAGACCCCAUUUACCUCCACCCUGGGGUCACAGUGACCCAGUGCUCUCCUUCCCCGAUGGCUCACCUCUCUGAGCCUGUUUGCUCAGGGAAAUGGGGAGAAGAAACGCCCUGUGAAUGAGAUCAGGGGGUUGGGGAGCCUCACCACGAAGCAGGGAGAGUUCUGGAACAGGGCACCGGCUCAGGGGGCAGCAGGUGCCAGGGGCCCUGGAGCAGGUGGGGCAUGGCGGGGGCGCCCUUGUCCAGCGGGCCGUGCAGUGCUGGGCUAGGGGGUCAGCUCCGGUGGGCUCCCAGACCCCACCAGGAGGGGCGACUCGUGUUUCACUUUCUGCUGUGUCAUGGGGCGUGGGGUGGUGGAGGGGCCCUGCUGGCCAGCCUGGCCGGGGCAGAGCCAGCGGACAGCUGCGGGCCCAGCUGCCAGAGCCCCGCCCCAGCCCUGCAGCCUGCCAGGAUGGGAGCUGGGCCCCAGGGCGCUUCUUUUUACCUCCCACUACAAGCACAGUGGGAGCACCCCGGCGGAGAAAACCCAGGAGCUGGCUGCCUGGAUCCUUGGGCUGGAGGGGACACCCUCAAAACAAAAUUUUAAGCCACACAGGGUCAAAAUCUUAAGACUUGUGACUUGAUACUGGAUCGGAUGGCCCAGCUGGACACCAGCCUCCUACUCGCGUUGGUUGCACAGAUGUCUGUUGGGGACCUGCCGUGUCCUGAGUACCGUGCCAGGGGCUGGCGUGACAGUGGUGAGGGUCAUGUAGCCCCUCCCCCCGUGGGGGUCUCAGUGGAGCCAGGGAGGAUGACAAGCGAGCAAACAAAGGGGUGGAGGAUCCCUUGUUAGGGUGAAAAUUCCGUGCUGAACACCACCGAGCUCAGGCCUGGGGUCUUGCGUGGCCCUGGGAGUCAGCAAGCUAAGCGCACAGACUGGGACCAGCUGUCCUGUGUUUAAAUCUGGACUCUUCUAUUGGCUGCUUGUGCAGCCUCUGGCAGGAGACUUCUCUCCGUGCCUCAGUUUCCUCAUCUAUAGGUACUAGAACUACAAGGGGCACUCAGAGCUGUGGUGAGAAUGAAAUACAUGGGCUGCCGUGAAGAACAGAACAGCGCUGGCGGUGCCGUAUGCCUUAGCCGUUACAGAAGAACAAUGAACGCAGACUGCUAGACGAUGAAAUCCACCCCUCAGAGCUCGCUGAGAGCGCUGGGAGUAUGUAUGGCUGAGCUGGUCCCCCUUGCCACACAUGACACAGUCACAGCCGGCCCUCAGGGUCCUCACUGAGGUAAGAGGAUGAGGGAACAGGCUCAGGCCUCCAGAGAGCUGUGUUGGAGAUGCGGUCCGCACCCACACUCAGGGCCACUUGUCAAGGAAGGGCUCCACUCUUGUUUCCAACUCUGCAACCGUCACCUUGAAAUUCUUAACCCUUCCGAACAAAAGGGCUCGUACAUCUUUAAUCCUGCCUUGAUGUUACUUAUGCUGAACCUCUUAACUACUGACAUCAACCAGCCGCACAGCUGGGUGCAGAGUAAUUUUCCAAUUUAGCAACAUAUGAGACUUGUGACCAAAAAAUACGAUGUUUCCUUUUUUAAAAAUUACAGUAUUACCGUAAAAGACACACUGCCAUUAACCCCCCUCAGAAUACUGCCCCUGUUUCAAACACACUGAAUCCCACUUUUCUGGCCCCUUCCUGAAGCAGUUCUGAGGUCUUCGGUUAUGUCUUUAGUUGUGCUGCCCUGCCAAUCUCAGUGUUCUGCGUCUAUUCAAAAUGUUUAACUUUCGCGGUCAUUUUGACUUUGGGGAAGAGCCAAGAGUGCCAAAUGCAGUGCACAAGGUGGAUGAGGCCUCCCCAUGAUGUUUUUAUGAGCCUGCCUUUCUGGGAGCAGCAUUCACUGUAUUUUUAUCACAAAGACACUCCUGAAGGAGGACUCCCACAACUGCUUCAGAAAGUGGCAGGAAGGAUGGAAUAAAUGUGUUCAAAUGGAUGGGUAGAUUUUGAUGGGGAUUCAUCAAAAAACGAAACAAAAAAAAUAUCACUACCCCCAACUUAAAUGUUCACUGUAUAUUUUUUUAUUAUACCUCGUAGUGCUUUGUAAUGGAACUGAAAUUCCCAGGAGACUAUGAACACUUAUCACAGGCCGGAUAACCCAAAUGCUUGUUUGUCUGUCUGUGGUCCCCAGGAGAAGGCUGCCAGGGGUGGCAGCUGAAGGUAGAAGCCUUGUCUCCUUCCUGCCAGACCUUCAGAUCCUGGCCUGUAUUAGGUGCUCAGUUAAUAGUAGUGAACUGAAGCCAAAGAUUUGGGGCCGCUGUGUCUCCUACUUCCAUGACCCUUCCAGGGAAGUAGGUGACGGGUGCGGUGUCAGUCCUGGCCACCCCAGCUGGCCUCCGGAGAGCCCCUGAGGGUGUGGAGAUUCUCCUACCCCUUGCCCAAGCCUGCUUACUCUUUAACAGCUUCUGCUUCAGGGUUCAGAGGCAACCCAGACCAUGGAGACCUGCAUUUCAGAGGCCUGCACUGGGAAAGAGGCGGGGUCUAGCCAAAAGAAUACUAGGGUUCUCAGGCUGAGCAGGUUCAAGACCCAGCUGGAGGUCAGGGGUCACGGCUUCUGGAAGUGUGAAAUGAGAUCAUUUUCCCUCUGAUAUUAAAAUUCAUCUACACUCUCAAAAACCUGAAAGUAUAAAUAUUACUAAAAGCAGAGAGCUAUUUCAAAAGCCUUUCGGGCAUUUAUAAUAAUAAACACAUACGGUUCUUCGCCAGCCUUUUUCACAAGCCUAAUCCAUCCUUUUAGAUGACAAGCCAUGAAGCCAUUGUCGUCAUCAUUGUCUAAAUAACAUCAUACCCACCAACAUAUAUUGAGCUCUUUCUUUGUCUGAGGCACUUUUGACUUGUAUGAAGUCAUUUCAGUUGCACAAGCAACAGACAUGAGAGGUACUGCUACUGGCCCCAGCUCUCUGAUGAGGAAACAGGCUUCGAGAGAUGACCUUACUUGUCCAAGGUCACAUACCUAGCAUGUGACAAGCUGGGGUUCAAACCUGGGUCAAGCCAGAGAGUAACUCUUUGAGGCUCUGCAGGCUACAAAGACUUGCAGCUGCUCAGCUCUGCAGAUGUAAGUCAAAAGUAGCCCUAAACAAUACACAAAUGGAUGGCUAUGGCUUGGUGUUACAAUAAAACUUUAUUUAUAAAACCAGAAAGCAGGCCAAAUUUGGCUUAUAGCCCAUUUGCCAACCCUUGUUCCAAACCGAAAGGCUGCCUUUCAGUUAGAUCAACACAAACUUGACCCUGGCAGUGUUCUUUCCCGACCUGUGAGGUGACUUAUUUCCAUGCCAGAGCGGACAGCUGCUGUGUGUGGAGAAGGUAAGUUGAGUCUGCCUUCCUUGUGGAAAUUCUGAAACUCUUGGAACUUAAUCUAUUAGUGACUGCUCCUGUAAAACAUCCUGAGGUUUUUAAAUUGAAAUUUUAGUAGUUGUCAAUUGAGGCACUUUAUUUUGUGUGUGGUGAUGGGGAUCAAAUCCAGGGUCUUACACAUAUGCUGACAUGUUACACCACCGAGCUACACCCUCAGCUCCCUGAUUACCACCCCCCCACCCCCGUACUGGGAAUUGAACCUAGGGAAUACUGAGUGAAGUCCCCAGCCCUUUUGAAAAAUUUUUGAACUUGUGAUCCUUUGGCCUCUGUCUCCUGUGUAGAUAGGGUUACAGGGUUGCACCUCCAUGGCCCCCGAUUAACUUUUAAAGAUGAAAGUGUUGUGGUUUAGGGAAAGACCUCAGUGGGACGCUUUUGCUGGGGAAGGCACUUCUCUGAGAUGAGAAGGAGGAGUAGGCCUGGGUAUAAACCUGUGGUAGAGCACCUGGCUAGCAUGUGUAAGGCCCUUGGUUCCAUUCCCAACACCACCAGGAAGAAAGAGCAAGAAAAAAAGGAAGGAAGGAAAGAAAGAAAGAAAUUUAAAGCAUAAGAAGACAGUGAGUGUGUGUGUGUGCGUAGGAGAGAGAGGGAGAAUUUCCCCAUAGGGUACCAAGGAGGCUGGAGCAUACCAAGAGAGUGGGGAAGAGGGCAUGAUGUUUAAAAAUAGCUUUAUUAAGAUGUAAUUUACUUAACAGGCAAUUCACUUUUUUCCCCAGUACUGAGGAUUGAACCCAGGGGCUGCAUAUUGAGCUACUUCCCCUCCCUUUUCAUUUUUAUUCUUUCAUUUAUUUAUUUUUUUUAUUUUUUUGAGACAAGGUCUUGCUAAAUGACUAAGUUGCUCAGCCUGGGUUUGAACUUGUGAUCCUCCUGCCUCAGCCUUCCAGAGUGGUGGGAUUAUAGGUGUGUACCAUUCACAUUUAAAAAGCACAAUUCAGUGGCUUGGAGUAUAUUAACAGAAUUGUGCAGCCAUCAUCAAUAAAUUUUAGAAUGUUUUCAUCACCUCAAAAAGAAGGCCCAUGCCCUUUAGCAGUCAUCCUGCCCACCCCAAUCUUCCAUUGCCGCCAACCCUAAGCAACCAUGAAUCUACUUCCUGUCUCUGUGAAUUUGCUUUUUCUGAACAUUUCCUAUAAAUGGGAUCAAACAGCCUUGGGUCCUUUGGGUCCGGCUUCUUAUUUAGGGUCUGAUAUUGCCAGGGUCCGGCCAUGUUGUAGCAUGUAUGAGGACUUCUUUCUUUUUCAUGACUGAGCAUCAACCUAACGUAUGGAUGGACGGACCAUAUUUUGUUUCUCCAUUUGGCAACUGAUGGGCUGUUUCUACUCUGGGGCUAUUAGGAAUAAUGCAGCUAUGAGUAUUCACGUAUGUUCUUGUGCAGACGUACAUUUCUGUUGGGCAUAUAGCUCAGAGUGGACAUGCUGGGUCAUGCAACAGCUCAAUGUUUAACGUUUGGUGGAACCACCUCUUUCAACUUUGUAUUUGGGACAUUUCCCACUGUACUUGAGAGUAGAGAAACUUUCGUAAUGUGCACCAGGUACCCAUUGUCCAGAUUCGACAAUGAUCAGCCUUUUGCCUAUCUUUUUCCCUCUGCCUUCUCUCUUCCUUUGUCUCCCACUGAGUAUCUUAUUCAGGCACUGCAUUUCAUGUUGUCCCAGCUGAGAGGCCAACAUUUUCUUUUAUCCCAAACCUUCAUUUGGAGUAGCCCAUAGCCACAUUCUUGUGUGAAUGGAAUUUGGGGGAAUGGAGGAGUUGGUCAGACUCCAGAGUGGUCAUGGUGUGGGAGGGGAGCAGCCCCUGAGUGAGGCAGGAUUAGCUAUACAAUUUGCAGGAUCUGGGUGAAAGGAACAUGUGGAACUCUUUGUUAAGAAGUUAAAGAUGGCAGAGCAUUAAAUCAAGCAUGGGCCUCAUGUAGCUGUAUAGGUUCUCUGCCCAUGAUGUCAGCCCAGCCCUUCAACCAGCGAAAAGGUGCCCAAGCAGAACUGGUUCAGCAGAUGCAGCAAUUUAGAACCUUGGAUACUGGGAGCAACAUAAACACCCCUCACCCUCAAUCUCUGGGAAGGUUCCAAGGGAAGUUGGGAAUGGUGUAGCAUAUGGGGCAAGAUGUAAACCCAUUUCAUUUUAAUCUCCAAAAAUAAGAUGACCCCAGCUGACAUGGGGGUUAUAAGCACUUAAAACAAUAAUCGUUUGUUGUAUGCCUUCUUCCUUGAGAGCUCACGGUUGUUUUAUUUGGCCACUCCAUUUUGUCCUGGGUUCUGAGUGUACUCUGAUAUCCCUGCAAAAGAUAGGGCUGCAGUCUUAAGAGCAGACACCCGCUGGGUUCCAAACAGCCCAGAGCUGUAGGGACCCAGGGUGCCCAACAGUAGCAGGUGGCCAUGGUAGACAUGGCUGCCAUUGAUGGCAACCAGUUCCUCCCAGCUCAGACACAGUUCCCACCAACCCAGGUGCCUCCUACUCCGUGUUUACCUAGGCUCAGCCCAAGGAUUCAUAAUCUUCUCCAACACCAAAGAUCCAGAGCCCCCUGUAUGGUUCAGGAUGAUGCCAGGGUGCAUUAUAUCAAGUGUCUUGUCAUGAAAGGGUAUACAGUACACGGCAAAAGGUGCCAGGGGUGGGCCUUGGUGAGAACAGGAAGGACAGCAUAGCUCUCCUGUUGGCCAAGGGGAGUUCACUCAUUCGUUCAGCCACUUGCUACCUACUGCACUUAAGGGCCUAUGGACUGGGCAAAAGCAAAACAGCAAUCAGCUGGGUAGACCUCUUCCACCACUCCACUGUCCUGACAAGCAGGUAAUAAAAAGAACAUUGUUAUAUUAUUUUGCUCAAUCUCCGAGUGUAGAAAUGGAAAUAAUUUUUAUCACACCAUUUUAUGUUUUUUCUUUUUUGGAGUGCUGGGUACUGAAUCCAACACCUCACAUGUGCUAGGAUGGCUCUAUCACUGAGCCACAUCCUCAGCCCCUUACCCAGAUUUAAAAAAUGAUAUCUUUCUUAUGGUAAGAAAAAUAAUGCAAGAGAGAGUAAGAUAAGAAAUAAAGGCAGGGCUGGGGAUUUAGCUCAGGGGUUCUGCCACCUGCCUCAAAAGUGCAAGGACCUGAGUUCGAUCCCCGGUACCAAAAAAGCAAAAACAAAAGAAAUAAAGGGGUCCCUUUGCAAUUUUUCUGUAGCUUUGACCUCACUUUCUAAGAAGUAACCACUGUGUGCAGUUUUCACAGUCUUUGUACGUGUUGUAAGCGUGGUCAAAGUCACGGGGCUGUUGCUGAGGAGGUUAAGGGUGCCACAAUACACCCUGAGGACAGAACACCUCUCAGACCCACAUCACUCUUUUCAAUCACGUCCAGCAUCCCACUGCGCUUACUUACCCUGGCCCCUGCUGGCCAACGUUUGCAUUAACUCCAGGAUUUUGCCUUUAGCGUGCAUACGCACUUUGGCACAUGGCCAACUGCACUUUGUAGGACAAAUUCCUAGAAGUGGAAUUUCUCCAUCGGAGGAUAAACGUAUUUUGGAUUUCUACAGCGAUUGCCCAGUGCCCCUCAAACAGGCUACGAUUCACAAGCCCCUCAGCCUCGUGUGUGUGAGGGUGCCUGGUUCUGACAUACUUUUUGCACCCCAGAAGGGCACAGUGUGGCAGGGGAAGCGGAUUCCCAGUGAGGCUGACACCUCUGAUGCCAAGUUUCUAGGGGAAACAAAAUUCUACUGUGUGAUUAUAAACCACUAGAGAGAAAAAGAGAAUGGAGAAGCCACCCAGAGUCCACUUUCCGCGCCCAGCACUGGGGGCUGAAGAUUCUCUUUCUGUCUUGAUUACAGAGAUCUGCCAGAAAUGUUGGUGAAUGAAAUGUGGAUGGAUGGCAUCAAGGCCAGAGGAUGCAAAAGGCCCUAGUUUUGAUAAAAAAAAGAAAAAAAAGAAAAAGAAAAAGCCAGCUUGGCUUGGCACCCUCCUUCCUGCCAGUCAGGGGACUGCAAAGCUGUUUCCAGAGCGCGGCUGAUGAAUUGAGGGAGGAGCAACAGGACAGUGCCAGUCGCCUCUCAGGGCUGCGCUAACAUAAAACCAAACAACUUGAAACUGUUCCAAGGGAGCGGAUUAAGGCAACAUGUUAUUCUGAGUGAUUGCUUAAUUUAUUGAGCUGCGGCUAGAUCUGUAAUGAAAUACAGCCCUUGUAACUGAUCACCUCCUACUGCAAUUGGACUUCUACAAUUAAGGGAUAUUUUCCCAGAGUUUCUCUCGAAGUGCCUGGAAUUUGUGGCCUCUGUGGUGGGGUGCUUCUGGCCGCGCAUGCUCCAGGCAAGCUUUUUUUUGGUUUGUUUUAAAGAGCAGCAGGUUGAUGUUAAUAAAGAAAAUAAGCAGCAUUUUACUGAGUGCCAUGUGUACAGCAGGUGGCUUAUAUACAUUUGCUCUGACCCCCUCCAUUUCCCAGUGAAAUAACCCUCACUAUUCCGUUUUACAUGGGAAGACAUGAGACAUGAGGGAAUUUUUUAGAGCAAGGCCCUCUAAGCCACACGUGACUAUUCGUGUCAAUUAGGUCAAGUUGAUUGCGUCUGAAAACGCACCCUUUGGGGGUGCAUGAGCAAUGAGUUCAAGUGCCAACCCUGCCAGACUGGGGGGCUGGUGGCCACCAUAUUGGAUGGUGUGCAUAUAACUCGUUUUUGAUGAUUAUAGAUCUAUUGCUCCGAGGUUGGUUCUAUAGAUCCAGAGAUUUCAUGGCAAGAAAUGGGCAGCUUCAGAAUUCAAAGCCCUAGUUAAUGGGCUUUGACCGUAAGCUUGUCUGCCACCCCUUACUUCCUUCUCCCGCACCAGGGACCCUCAGCCAGGCUGCGUGUUAAAAUUACCUGGAUCUUUCGGGUUGUUUUUAUUUUUGUUUGAGACAAGGUCUCACUAUGUAAUUCAGGCUGGCCUUGAACUCAUGCUGAUCCUCCUCCCUCAGUCUCCCAAGUGCUGGGAUUACAGUCAUGGAAUGGGGUGGGGGGACCUUUGCUUGUAGAAUAGCCUUUGUUACACUGUCAUGGAAGAAGCUAGAUAUAUCAUGGAGAUGACGUGAGAACCCUGUAGCUCCAAAUUGAAUUAGCAGCAUCAGGAGGAACGCAGGCACUCUCUCUCUCACUUUAUAAAGUGGAGCAUGGGGUUGCAGGUUCUGUCCACUGAGGUUAGAGACCACGACCAGUCACAGCGAGGACCCAGCACCAGGGUACGGUCCCUAAACACCUCUUUUAAUCAGCAUUCAAGGCCCCCUGGGCAAAUGGCCAAUUCCACAUCUGAGCCAAGAAAUGUUCCAGUGAGCCUGAGAUGUCUUUGUUUGUUUGUUUGUUUGGCUUUUGAGCCAGGGCCUUCCUUCCUUUAUAGUUUAGGCUGGCUUCGAACUGACUCCGGAGCCCAGGGUGGCCUCAAAUUCACGGCAGUCCUCCUGCCUCCAGCUCCUGAGUGCUGGGAUUUACAGGCCUGCGACACCACACCCAGCUGAGCCUUGACUAUCUUGUCACUGGGAAGCAGGAAAGCUGUUUCAACUGCUGGAGUCACAUCUGAAAGGAUGCAGGAGACAGCAUGAAAAGAUUCUCAUUGGCCAAAAAUGACAAUUUGAGCAUUAUUAGGAAUACUAACUAUAGCCAGAUGUGGUGGCACUCUGGGAGGCUGACGCAGGAGGAUUACAAGUUUGACCCCAGCCUAGGUAAUUUAACAACUUAAGACUCUGUCUCAAAAUAAAAAAUAUUAUAAAAGGGCUACACAUGUAGCUCAGUGCAAAGGCCCUGGGUUCAACCCAUAGUUGAACCAAAUAAUGAUAAUAAUAAUAAUAAUAAUAAUGCAAACCAAAUAAUAAUAAUAAUAAUUACAGUGUAUUAAACAUUUCAACUUCAUGUCCAAACAAUGAGUUCACCAUGAUGCUGGAGCACAAGAAAAACAUAAACUUACUCAUCACCAAGCCUCGCAUUUUGGAAACUGUCAAAGGAAAAGAAUCUAGCAUUUGGGCCGAGGAUUUAGCUCUGUGGUUCCACUGCCUGCCUUGCAAGUGCAAGGUCCCAAGUUCGAUCCUCAGUACCAAAAAAAAAAAAAAAAAGAAUCUAGCAUUUGUCCUUUUUGGAUGACCCAUACUCUAUGGAAGCCAAGCGAUGGAUAAAAUGGUGUGCUUUAUAGAAGUAUUUCCACUAACCAAGACAGACAGAGAUUAGGAUGCCACUGGUUUUUAGUCUCUAGGGGAGUGACAGGUCUGGACAGUGAUCAGCAGCAGCUAACAUCACAGAGGAAAAUCAGGUCUUGACCUCCAAAUCAGCUACUAGGAAGCAGACAAAAAAAUGCAUCUUUGUGAGCUUCCAGAUUGAACUAGCAAUACAGGAGGGAGAGGAGCAGAUAUAACACCUUUAUGAGGAUGCAAUAAGCAAAAUCCAGACUAUAGGACACAUCAUAGAGCAUCCAACCCAGUUUCUUCAGUAAACUGUAGGGAAAGAGAAAGGAAGAUGAAAGAGAGGUGUACGAGACACAGCAACCAAUCACAAUAUAUGAGCUUUAUUUGCAUCCUGAUCUUACCCAGUUGUGAGAAAACAUUUAAAAGAAAGCUAGAUAAAUGUGAAUCCUGACCAGAUAUAGUAUUUGCUGAUAUUAAAAGAUUUACUGUUUUUUGUGGGGUUUUUUUUGGUACCAGGGAUCAAACUCAGGACCUUGCACUUUCGAAGCAGGCACUGGAACCACUGAGCUAAAUUCCCAGCCCCCUUUACUGUUAAUUUCAAUAGUGGUAAUGGUAGUAAAAAACCCCCAAAACCUAAUUAUCAGCUGGGCAUGGUGGCACACACCUGUAAUCCCAGCACUCUGGGAGGCCGACACAUGUGAGUCUCAGGUUUGAGCCCAUCCCGGGCAACUUAGCAAGACAGUGUCUCCAACAAAACGAAACAAAAAAUACCCUACUUCUUUCUUGGGAGUUAUCUUUGGAAAUAUUUGCCAAAGAAAUGAUUGAUAUCUGGAUUUCCUUAUGAAGGGGAAGGAAGUGCCAUGGAACAAGAUUGGCCCAGGGUUAGUGACUGCUGUAGCUGGCUUUGCGGUACCAGAUGCUCUAUUCCUAUGUGUGCUUGAAGCUUUUCAUAAUAAAAAAAAAAA
rnacentral:lncRNA from 1 species